UUGAUUCAUGCUAUUAUUAUUACUACUUCUACUGUUAUGAUGAAAACUCUACGCCACCCGUCAUAUUCAUCCCAUGGACCACAACGUGGGAAGCGGCCAAGGAUUACUGCCGAAACAAUCACAAGGAUAUUGUUACUCUUGAAGGCGAUGUACUAUUGGAAGAUCUUCCUAAGGAAGACCUAUUCUAUAUCUGGACAGGAAUUCACAUAACUGAACCUGAUGGUGGUUGGAAUACAAGCGCCGGCAAACCUACAAACUACGAAGACUGGGCGGAAGGGCAGCCCACUGCUGACGGGGACUGUGUUGGCAUCUCCAAUAAGGACAAGAAGAUGACUAUCUUGGACUGUGAUUCCAAAUGGCCCUUUUACUGCUUCCAAGACAACCUGGUUCUGGUAAAGGAGGACAAGACCUGGGAGGAGGCCAUUGAGCACUGCAGGGCCAUGGACUUGACUGACCCCAACAACCACCGCAAUGACCUGAUCAGCAUCAGUGGUCCGUUGGAUCAACAAACUGUGUGGUCCAAAAUCAACGAAGCCACCUCAAACGAGGUUUGGACCGGUCUUCGCUACUUUGCUCACGAAUGGUUUUGGGUUGAUGGGACCGAUGUGCCAUACCAGGACUUGCCGUCCUGUCCUGUUCGAGGGCAGUAUUGUGGAACUGUGGACAGGGACAACAGCACCAUACCCUGGAAUAUCAGAGACUGCAAUGAAAAAAGAAACUUCCUCUGCUACGAGAAGUACUGAUCAUUGAAUGUAAUCACACAGUUAGUAACAGAUAAAAUAACUAGACAUUGUCGCAUAUGCAUUUUCUUUAGAGAAUGUGUGUAGUUUGUAUAACAAACAAACAAUUAGCAUAACAAUUUGUUUCUAAUCCGUUACUCUUGUGAGUAUGACAAGGUUAUAAGAUCACAGCAGUCCCACUACGGCAAACGCUUUGCUACUCUCUACUGCUCCCCCACUGUCUGUAGUGGUAUACAUACUAUAAUGGCAUACAUCAUUUCUAUUUUUAUCUAGAAAGCCUCGGAAGACUCAAAAUAACCUGAAUAGAGUUACUUAAAGAAAAGUAAAGUAGGCCUAUUACAUUCAAUUAAACCAAAAAUGUGAUUGCAUAUAUUUGUUUCUGUAACACAUGAACUAACUUGUAGUUUGCGAAACAUUCCCUGAGCGUGCUAAUGCUAGCAAGGCUAAUGAGCAAGCCCACCGAGUUUCAAGAACCUGGGCCACUUAGAAGCAGACAUGUGAUUGAUUGAAUAAUGGGGCUGUUCAUUGCUGUUUGUGAGUUAAUACGCCCCCUGUUACAAAAGCGGUAGGCCUACUUUAAUUUUUUUUUAAGACAAGUGGCUUCGUCCUGAUCUACAUUGCAGCUGGAUAGCUUUGCCUCCUUUAUGUUAUGUUCUCCUCUUUGGCAAAACCCUAGUCCCAAAUCCGGUUGCAUGUCUUGUGGUAUCGUACUUGCUUUGUGUUUUGUAUUCACCUGUUCAAUGAUCCCUCAGUAUACCCAUUUUCAUAAUCUGUUUCAGUCCAUUAUUAUUCACUGCUAACCUUAUCAUCUAUUAUCCAUAACCCAGCCAAUUUACAUCUGUUACCGCCCCCAAUUCCCCAAGACAGUGUGGUUGUAGCACUCUCUUCUUAAUACACUUUUCAAACAUCCAUCAUUCUAGGUAAAUGUGGUCCCAAACAGAUAGGUAAAUAAGGUUCAGCCUUCGUGGGUGCGUUGGUGUAAAAGUCAAAUAAUCGGAGUGGCAAUCAUUUGAAUGUUCCGAUGUUAGUUCAGUGGCUACAUGCUCAGGAGUCAAAUGCAGUCAACAACAAUGAAAAGGCAAAAGCCCUGAAAACUUUACGUAUACAGAAACACAAACACACACAUACACGUUUAUAUUGUAGCAACCCUGCUUUUAAUCGUCCAAGAACCACACAGGUUGUUGAGAUUAUCUAACUUUGAUUUAUUCCGCAAUGUCGGCAACCGUCAGAUGCAAGCGGCCGACGAGACAGGGCAAGAAGUACGACUGGAGUAAAUCCAUCCAGCGGGCGGUCCGUCACUCUGGCUCCCUGGAAGACAUUAACCAUUGGAGGACAGUGUAGUCGGUUCUGAUGAUGAAGAGCUGGCCUCACAGGUGGUACUUAAAAUGUCUUAUCGUCAUCACCCCUGUGAGCCACUGCCGCCUCAUGACGCCAUAGCACUUUUCAAGGACUUGCUGAAAUACUUAAAUACCACUCUCUCCAUCCAGGCCUACCUGAGUCAAAACAGAGAGAGGUGAAGCAGUCCAAGUGCUACCAUUUAAAUUUAUUUCACAAUGAAUUAUGUGUUUGUGAUUGCCAUCUUAUUGGUAACACAUUUGUCUUUUGUGUUGGGCUUUUAUGUGUUUGUAAUGCAGAAUGCAGAAUGAGAAAGCCCAGUAAUUGUGAGUGGUGCACGUCAUAAUAUGCCCCCUAUCUAUGUGCAAAUGCUUUUGGAUAACUGUUACACGAUUUUUACAUGUCUACACACGUUGGUGGAAAUGUUCAUGAAAAAAAGUGUUAUUGCCAUUAUUGUCAUAUUUUGGUUAACCUAUAGUUGUCUAAAAUCUAAAUUUGUAUUUUUGCUCUUGGCUUGUAGUGCCCCCGUGUGUUUAUAAAGAGCAUGACACAGAAUAUUUAUUCAUACCUGUAUGUGAAAUUUGGUUAAAUAGCAAUACAAAUAAAAAA